CGGGGAGGUAGCGGUCUGUUUUUUAAGAGGAAAUCUUUGCGACCAGUAGGUCCAAGCUGGCUCAAAGAAGUUGCUUGCACAGGGGAAUCGAGGGUGGACUAGCUGUGUGGGUGUGGCUUAAUUCUGCUGUUUCUCUUUUGGAUGAGACCUUACACUUUUUGCUUUGCCUUCGUUAACGCUCGGUUCCUCCCACAUCUUUGGCUUCUCUCUGUGAAAUCCCUGCCACCUACAGAUUCCUUUUAUUAUCCCAUACUGGCUGCGACUAGUCUUAAAUACCCUGUUUCCGCUCUCUUUCUCACACGCAGUUCCUGGAAUCUACAUCCCUCUCUCCCUCGGAUGUCUGGACUCACUUUGGAUAACCCAGACCUUUUCUGCUUCAAGUGUCCCACUGGAUAG
rnacentral:lncRNA from 1 species